GCUGAACUUAAGCAUAUCAAUAAGCGGAGGAAAAGAAACCAACAGGGAUUGCCUUAGUAGCGGCGAGUGAAGCGGCAAUAGCUCAAAUUUGAAAUCUGGCACCUUCGGUGUCCGAGUUGUAAUUUGAAGAAGGUAUCUUUGGUUUUGGCCUUUGUCUAUGUUUCUUGGAACAGGACGUCACAGAGGGUGAGAAUCCCGUGCGACAAGGUGCCCAAUUCCAUGUAAAGUUCCUUCGACGAGUCGAGUUGUUUGGGAAUGCAGCUCUAAGUGGGUGGUAAAUUCCAUCUAAAGCUAAAUAUUGGCGAGAGACCGAUAGCGAACAAGUACUGUGAAGGAAAGAUGAAAAGAACUUUGAAAAGAGAGUGAAAAAGUACGUGAAAUUGUUGAAAGGGAAGGGCUUGAGGUCAGACUUGGUUUUACCAGGCCAGCAUCAGUUUGGAUGGCAGGAUAAUAGCUAAGAAAAGUGGCACAGCUUCGGUUGUGUGUUAUAGUCUUGGUUGAUACUGCCUGUCCAGACUGAGGACUGCGUCUUUGACUAGGAUGCUGGCAUAAUGACCUUAAGCCGCCCGUCUUGAAACACGGACCAAGGAGUCUAACGUCUAUGCGAGUGUUUGGGUGUAAAACCCGUACGCGUAAUGAAAGUGAACGUAGGUGAGAGCCCUUUGGGUGCAUCAUCGACCGAUCCUGAUGUCUUCGGAUGGAUUUGAGUAAGAGCAUAGCUGUUGGGACCCGAAAGAUGGUGAACUAUGCCUGAAUAGGGUGAAGCCAGAGGAAACUCUGGUGGAGGCUCGUAGCGGUUCUGACGUGCAAAUCGAUCGUCAAAUUUGGGUAUAGGGGCGAAAGACUAAUCGAACCAUCUAGUAGCUGGUUCCUGCCGAA
rnacentral:rRNA from 1 species